rnacentral:snoRNA from 1 species
UCCCUCCAGAUUCCUUACCCAGCAGACCUAAACACUGGUCUGAGUGCUUAUAAAAUGAAGAAACGUAAAAUUGAAACUGACAUAAAUUUUUUGUGAUGCACAGGCUAGUUUCAAAUCAAC